GGACCCGUGGUGUAGCUUGGUUUAACACAUCGGCCUGUCGAGCCGAAGAGCGCGGGUUCAAAUCCCGUCGGGUCCG
rnacentral:tRNA from 1 species